GGGUUGUGAGGUUAAGCGACUAAGCGUACACGGUGGAUGCCCUGGCAGUCAGAGGCGAUGAAGGGCGUGCUAAUCUGCGAUAAGCGUCGGCGAGGUGAUAUGAACCUUUGACCCGGCGAUACCCGAAUGGGGAAACCCAGUGUGUUUCGACACACUAUCAUGUCAUGAAUACAUAGUGGCAUGAGGCGAACCGGGGGAACUGAAACAUCUAAGUACCCCGAGGAAAAGAAAUCAACCGAGAUUCCCCCAGUAGCGGCGAGCGAACGGGGAGGAGCCCAGAGUCUGAAUCAGCGCGCGUGUUAGUGGAACGGUCUGGAAAGUCCGACGGUACAGGGUGAUAGUCCCGUACACAAAAAUGCACGCGUUGUGAACUCGAAGAGUAGGGCGGGACACGUGGUAUCCUGUCUGAAUAUGGGGGGACCAUCCUCCAAGGCUAAAUACUCCUGACUGACCGAUAGUGAACCAGUACCGUGAGGGAAAGGCGAAAAGAACCCCGGCGAGGGGAGUGAAAAAGAACCUGAAACCGUGUACGUACAAGCAGUGGGAGCCUACUUGUUAGGUGACUGCGUACCUUUUGUAUAAUGGGUCAGCGACUUAUAUUCUGUAGCAAGGUUAACCGUAUAGGGGAGCCGAAGGGAAACCGAGUCUUAACUGGGCGUUAAGUUGCAGGGUAUAGACCCGAAACCCGGUGAUCUAGCCAUGGGCAGGUUGAAGGUUGGGUAACACUAACUGGAGGACCGAACCGACUAAUGUUGAAAAAUUAGCGGAUGACUUGUGGCUGGGGGUGAAAGGCCAAUCAAACCGGGAGAUAGCUGGUUCUCCCCGAAAGCUAUUUAGGUAGCGCCUCGUGAACUCAUCUUCGGGGGUAGAGCACUGUUUCGGCUAGGGGGCCAUCCCGGCUUACCAACCCGAUGCAAACUACGAAUACCGAAGAAUGUUAUCACGGGAGACACACGGCGGGUGCUAACGUCCGUCGUGAAGAGGGAAACAACCCAGACCGCCAGCUAAGGUCCCAAAGUCAUGGUUAAGUGGGAAACGAUGUGGGAAGGCACAGACAGCCAGGAUGUUGGCUUAGAAGCAGCCAUCAUUUAAAGAAAGCGUAAUAGCUCACUGGUCGAGUCGGCCUGCGCGGAAGAUGUAACGGGGCUAAACCAUGCACCGAAGCUGCGGCAGCGAC
rnacentral:rRNA from 1 species